rnacentral:rRNA from 1 species
GACGAACGCUGGCGGCGUGCUUAACACAUGCAAGUCGAGCGGUAAGGCCCUUUCGGGGGUACACGAGCGGCGAACGGGUGAGUAACACGUGGGUGACCUGCCCUCAGCUCUGGGAUAAGCCUGGGAAACCGGGUCUAAUACCGGAUAUGACUCCAUGACGCAUGUUGUGGGUGGAAAGCCUUGUGCGGCUGAGGAUGGGCCCGCGGCCUAUCAGCUUGUUGGUGGGGUGAUGGCCUACCAAGGCGACGACGGGUAGCCGGCCUGAGAGGGCGACCGGCCACACUGGGACUGAGACACGGCCCAGACUCCUACGGGAGGCAGCAGUGGGGAAUCUUGCGCAAUGGGCGAAAGCCUGACGCAGCGACGCCGCGUGAGGGAUGACGGCCUGG